rnacentral:tRNA from 1 species
GUUGAUGUAGCUUAACACAAAGCAAAGCACUGAAAAUGCUUAGAUGGAUUUUUUCAAUCCCAUAAACA